CAAAACAUCUCAGAUGCCUUACAGAUCCCCUGGAAACUCCAUACUCCAUGGUGACCACAGGCUAGUGGUGUAGUAGAACGUACAAAUCAGACCCUCAAGCGUCAUCUAUCAAAGAUCUGCCAGGAGGCCUCUGUGCGAUGGCCCGAUGCUUUGCACCUUGCUCUGCUUCGCAUCCGUGCCCUCCCAAAGGGAAGAUUAGGGCUUAGCCCCUUUGAGAUUAUGUUUGGAAGGGCAUGGCCUAUGAAUGGGACGCCGGUUCUCGCAGGGGAGUGGGAAAUAGAAUGUAAUAUUUUGUCACGGUAUAUGUGCUCUCUGUCUGCUGUUCUUUUUUCUCUCCAUAGGUACACUAAAGACUUGCAGCCUCUUCCGCUGGAUGCUCCAGUCCACUCAUUACAGCCGGAGAUUCCGUGCUUGUUCGUACCUGGAAGGAUGAGCCCCUCCAAGAAAAGUGGAAAGGACCUCACACUGUCGUACUAGUUUCCCACACAGCGGCAAAGGUCGAUGGACACAAGAACUGGAUUCAUCACGAGACGAUUUAGCAUGAUCCUUCUCCCGUCGUAUGGAGUGUGCCGAAAAUUCCCAAGAUAUUAACGAACACAUUUUGUCGGCCGAACAGGCUUUUGAGCAGUGGAAAAGUCAGGAACGUGAACCCACUGUUUUCGAUUCUCUCUGGAGCUGGUUGCCCAACCUCGGAGGCCUAGGAACAGGCAUCCUUCACCUCCUGGUCACCGGUGAUGUGUUGUGUUUAAUUACCCUCCUCUUAUUUGCGUGCUGUAAUGCCCUCCUGCACAAAGUCUGUGUAUCCCCCUCCCCGAGCGCUUCACAGUACCCCUGCAUUGAAGAUCCCAGUUCCCAAACACUUAAUCACCUUUUAUCUUCAGAAUAUGAGAAAACUCAGCCAAAACUUUGUUGAGUAUUCUCAAAGGGGGGAGUUGUUGGUGUCACUGGGCAUAACCCUAGGUAACUCAGAGGGAUGGAAGACCACGAGUGUCGAUGAAGCCCCUCUGCUCUAGGCCCAGGCGAGCCAGGGCCCCCCCCCCCCGAACCUUUGUAACCCUUUCCUUGAACUUUUUGUAACCUCCUGUAAUACUGGAAAACCAGGGAUGAGUAGCAGGCAAGCUGAAACUCCCUAAAACUGUUAUCUGUGGAAUGCAAGGUUACCGCUCAGAGAGAGAAUGGAGGAGGGAAGGGGGUGGGGGAAGUGGAAGCCAACUAGUGGAAAACUACUGCAGAACAGGGUAUAAAAAUACACUGUUGCAGGGCUAGGGGCGCAGGAUUUGAGACCAUACAGUCUCCCUGCACCUUUUACUUGAGCUCAAAUAAACUCUGUCUACUUCUCCCCCCA
rnacentral:lncRNA from 1 species